CAUGAGCAGGAUGAAGCGAAAGUAAAAUUUCGUGGAGGUCCGAACCCACGAGCGUUGAAAAGCUCGGGGAUGACUUGUGGGUAGCGGUGAAAUUCCAAUCGAGCCCGGAGAUAGCUGGUUCUCCCCGAAAUAGCUUUAGGGCUAGCCUCAAGGUGAGAGAUACGGAGGUAGAGCACUGAAUGUCCUAGGGGGUAUUGCACCUACCGAAGACUAUCAAACUCCGAAUGCCGUCAUCUUAUACUUGGGAGUCAGACUGUGGGUGAUAAGAUUCAUAGUCGAAAGGGCAACAGCCCAGAUCGUCAGCUAAGGUCCCUAAAUGUAAGUUAAGUGGUAAAGGAUGUGGGAUUGCACAGACAACCAGGAUGUUGGCUUAGAAGCAGCCACUCAUUCAAAGAGUGCGUAAUAGCUCACUGGUCGAGUGAUCCUGCGCCGAAGAUUUCCGGGGCUAAAACUUACUACCGAAGCUACGGCAUCAGUAAUGAUGGGUAGGGGAGCUUCCCAUACGGGUUGAAGCAUGACCGUAAGGACAUGUGGACAGUAUGGGAGUGAGAAUGUUGGCAUGAGUAGCGAGAUGUGGGUGAGAAUCCCACAGGCCGUAAACCCAAGGUUUCCAGGGGAAGGUUCGUCCGCCCUGGGUUAGUCGGGACCUAAGCUGAGGCCGAAAGGCGUAGGUGAUGGAC
rnacentral:rRNA from 1 species